UUUCUUUCUUUCUAGUUUGAUUUCGUUUAAUUUUUCUCAGCUAUUUAUGUAGAAAAAAUUCUUCCCUUAACCUGAAAACAUCAAUAAAAAAUAGAAAAGAAAAUUAUCCACCAAAAUAAAGGAAAAGACAAAAAGGUUAAGUAAAUAAAACUGCAAAAGAAGUAAUUAUUUAUUUAAAGAAAAAACGUUGAACCUGAAAAUAAACAAAAGAACAAUUAAAUAAAAUAUAGUAGGUAAAUAAAUUAAUAAAUAGAUAAUCCUAUAAAAAAGCAAAUUGAAAAGAAAAUUGUCAUUAAGGAUUCCCUAUCGAAUUUCCUCCUAAGCCAUCGCUCUAGUUUCCAAUAUUUGUUCCUCACCCACUGGAGAAACAAAUUAAAUUUCUGAAAAUAAAAAAAAAAAAAACAUAGCAAUCAAAUAUCAAAAAAUAAAAAAUAUUAUUAAAAAAAUAAAAUGUCAAAAUAUUUUCUUACCGAAAAAUGGACUCUUCGGUGGAUUCUGACCACCCUAGUCCUAGAAGCUAUAAUAUUUUGGCGAGGAUAAUAUACCACGCCUAGAUUGGGCUGAAGAAAGGAAGAAAAUUAUGAAGAAAUAAGAACAAAAAAUCAAGAUAUAAGAAAUUAUAUAAAUGACAGCUUACCAGCACGUGUGGUCCAUCCCCAAUCAAUUCGAUAGGUUGGACUGGUUCUUGGACAUUGCUUACCAAAUUAUUUGUCCUCCUAAACCAAUGGCGCGGAUUUGACCACUGCAUGCCGGCGAACUAAUAAAAAAUAUUAAAAUUUUAUAAUUUAUGGUUUUAACAAUCAAUUAAAUUAAAACUUACGUUUCUAAAAAAUG